rnacentral:lncRNA from 1 species
UUUCAGAUUGUUUAUAGUCUUAAAGCAAGAACAAUAAUCAAGAGGACUCAUUGUGUACUUCUAAAAUCUGGAAAUUGGGAUUCUUGUAAUCACAUACAUUGUUUGCAUGUGAUUUUAAAUAUUUAUCUAAUAUUUAAGUGCUUGGAUUUUUAAAAAUAAUUUUUUAUUCUUCCUUCCUAGAAUUAAUUCUAUUUGUCCCUGAAACUUUUAAAGAAGAUCUAAUACUAUAGUAGGUUAUAAAUCAAAAAGAUGUUUUUCAGCUGCGAAAGAGGAUUUUUUUUUCCCUUUUAGAAAUUACUUUUAGAUGAGAAUUGCUAGCAUUUGAUUGUAUUUUUAAAGGAACACUAUCUUUUUAAUUUGCAAAGAAGGCAGAAAGUGGGUUUAGGGUUCAUAUCUAGGAACUUAAAACUGUGCCAAGCCAUACAUUCCAAGUUAGAAAUACGUGGAAAUAAUUUUCUUUGAUGUUUCAUUCAUAAGCCAUAAUCAUUGUCUUUUUUUUUCCUGUAUUUUAAAUUUUUCUUGUGUACAUUUUUCAUAAAGUAGGAUGAGUUGUCUGUUUAUGCUUCAUUUUUACAUGUAGUUUCAUUUUAUAUUUGUGAACAGUGUUUACUCAUGAAGAGUGGGGACAGAGCACUGUGAAUCUUUUGAAUGUGGCAGGUUAUCAAUUCUGUAAACACCUUUGCUCCAUAUAUGAGUUAAAGUAGACUUAACAAAUCCUUUAUAAGUGUACUUAUAAGUAAAUAUUUUACAAAAAUUUACUAAAAAUCCAGUUGGAAAAUUGUUAAUAUUUAAAUUGUAAUUGGCUUUAUCAUGUAUGUAAUUCUGUGGCUAGCAGUUUCUUUAAUCAUCACAUACAUAACACAUAUACAUACAAACACGAUCCCUUUUGAAAAAGAAAAAAAAUGUAAUUUUUAUGAAAUACAAGUUUCAUGACAGUUUUUGAAGUGAGGAAACCCAUUUUAAUAGCUUGUCUUACAUCUUGAAUAUUUAUCAAAACCCUUUUACUAGUUAUAUGUUAUACUAAAAUUUUAAUUCUCAAAACAUUUCUCUUAGUUUUAAAAUUACUAAAGUUGGUACUGUUUGGAUAUAAACUUUGGAUGUUGUAUCAUAUAAAUCUAAAUAAUUUUUAAAUGAAGUUCUUUUAGUCCUAGUAAAAAUCCCCUAAGGUAGAUUGGGAUCAAGUUAUUACUUAAAAUGUCGAAAUAUCUGUUUUGAUAAAGUAUUGAUUUUUCAAGUGGUAUUUUUUGUUUGUUUAUUUAUUAUAUAGCUACCAAAGAGAUGAUAGUGAAAUUGGAUACAUUUUCAGUAACUCAGUGUGUCCAUCAAGGGGCCUCUAAGCCAGUUCAUAUGUAGCCUUAAUUAGCAGUUCUUUUUACAGGUCUUCAUAAAAUUAAUCCAGUAAACCAAGUAUGCAUUGUUAGCUUUACAUACUUUGAAUUUAUACUCCAGUCAAGAGGAAUCACCUAAAUAUAUCAUUUUGAGUUCAUGUCACUCAGACAUU